AAAAUUAUAAGAGGAGGUGGACCGACGUAUGAAACCAAACAAAAAUGAUAAGAGGAGGUGGACGGACCAAAAACGGACGAAAUUAUAGUGGAAAUUUGGAAACAUUAAGUUGCGGCCAGAAAUGUGAAGAAAAUUACAAGUUCGAGAAAGGUGUCUUAGUCUGAAUAUUGUGCAGAGGAACCAGCUGCAGCACCGGAACCGGGACGGCACGCGGCCGGUCUUCCGGAUGCGCUCCACCUGCCGGGCCAACCGGACCGCCCGCCGGUUCCGCCUCGCCUCGACCCUCGCCUGCUUCCCCUCCACCUUGUGGCUCAAUGUGGACAGCCUCUUGGUCAGGCUGUUCUUCGCCCGCGCCUUCAUUUGAUCGGCCUGCACCUGAAAUGAAGUUUGCACAAUUACAUUCUGUAAAUUUGU